rnacentral:misc_RNA from 1 species
GAUGAAGAACGUAGCGAAAUGCGAUAAGUAAUGUGAAUUGCAGAAUUCAGUGAAUCAUCGAAUCUUUGAACGCAUCUUGCGCUCCUUGGUAUUCCUUGGAGCAUGCCUGUUUGAGUAUCAUGAGCAAAUCUCAAAGUCAAUUCCUUUUGUUGAUUCAAUUGGUUUUGCUUUGGACUUGGAGGCCUUGCAGAUUUCACAGUCUGCUCCUCUUAAAUGCAUUAGCUGGAUCUCAGUAAGUAUGCUUGGUUCCACUCGGCGUGAUAAGUAUCACUCGCUGAGGACACUGUUAAAAAGGUGGCCAGGAAAAUACUGAUUGAACCGCUUCUAACGGUCUAUUAAGUUAGACAAUUACCCUUAAGUUUGAUCUCAAAUCAGGUAGGACUACCCGCUGAACUUAAGCAUAUCAAUAAGCGGAGGA